CAAAGCCCCUGCCCCCCAGCUCAGGCUCUGUGGCUGUCAGCAGCUACCCUGGCUCUGAGUAGCUGCUGGAGCCCAGAAUGCUCCCAGCAGGGCUUGCAGCAUCCCAGCUGCCUGCUGGGAGCAGCCCAGGCUCCUGGCUGGCAGCAGCUCCCCAGAGCUGGGGCUGGCUUCAGUUAGAAGGCUGCAAACAGCUGCACCAGGCUCUGGGCUGCAGCAUCAGCUCUGCACCGGCUCGAGCAGGCAGUGUGGGAGUGGCCUGAGGCAGUGCAGUCCUGGUCUCUCCCCAACUCCCAGCACAGAGGUGAUAGCAGGGUUCUGGAGACUUUUUUUUAAGUGCUCUGUUACAUUUACCAUUUAAAAGUGUCAUUUCUGCCUAUUGCUAUCAAAGGAGAUAUUAAAAAGGAUAAACACAGACUAUAGAAAAGCCUGAGUUAUUUUAAAUUAAAAUCUGUAUUUCAGAACAUAUAUAUAUUCUCCAUUCAACAAUACAAAUACUAUGUUUACCUAUAUAUGUAGAAACUCCCUUACUAACCAGAAAUAUAUUUGACAGGAGAGAAAGGUACAAGAAGGUGCCUUGAAAUAAACAUACCAUAAAGCAUUUCAAAUCUAAUUGUCAUGGAAAUUAGCAUUAAACGUGUCAGCUUGUUUCCCUUCAAAGCCUAGGGAUAAAAUUCAGAGUAUUAUUUUCUUUUAUCAAAUAGUGUCUGUUGAUAAAGUUGUGUUCAGGAAUCUGGUGUAACAGUUCUGAAAAUAAUUCAAUCUCAAGCCCACAAUGAACUUCAUAUGGUUGAAGCAGUAUCUUCCUACAUGAUCAAUGCUUUACUGAAUCCAGAAACAGUUUAGCAGGAAAACGUCUCUAAAAAUACACACGGGGGAAAAAAAUUACAAGAUCUAAAAAAAGCUUUUUAAAGUGCUAAAUCUUUUUAAAAGUCAUACACAAGGAAGGCAUCUGUCCAUGGGUAAUGGAAUAAGGGCAAACUGCACCAUUGAUCUCUCCAGUGUUUGUCACAUGGGCACCCUUUCAAAGUGACAGAUCUACAUAGCACUCUGCAAGUGGCAGGUCUCUCUCGGCAGUUUUUCCUGAGUGCAAUUCCAUAGUUUAUACUCCAUUAGACUGAAUCUUCCAUUUUCAGUCCCUUCCCUUGUAUCCCCAUUUUCACUUCCUUGUCAUGAUUACAGAGCAGGGGUGCUAUGUCUUCUUCCUACCCCAUUCCAAGGAUGGCAAGAAGAUGUAAAAAGAAAGCUCCUGCCUCUUAACUAGUUAGUCUCUAUUGUGCCACCCUGCCCUACCUUCUGCCUGACUUGAGACUAAAACUGCUAACCACCUCUUUACUCUGUUCAGGUGGAGCCCUGCAGUUCAAGUGCUUCUACACUAGAUGCCAGGGUGGCAGUCCCCUCAUAUUUCCUGCUAUGUUAACUUGACAGGCCCAAUUUUAACUGAUACCUGCAAAACAUUUAUCUUCUGAAGCUUGUGAUCAGUGGCUGAUAAAGGGUACGCACAAGCAUUACAUUUACAUUGAUGGAAUCCAGCUUAGACCAGUAGAAAUGUGCAAGCAUUCACAAUGCUUAAUCCAGUCUAAAAAUGGUGAGUGAGGUGGAAAUUUAAACCUUGUCUGACAAGGGUUAAGACUAGUCCAACAAGGAGGUAAUGUAGUGAUGUAUGAUUCAUAGAUUUCAUAGACAUUAGGUCUGGAAGGGACCUCAUGAGAUCAUCGGGUCCAGCCCCCUGCCCAAGGGGCAGGAAGUCAGCUGGUGUCAGAUCACCCCAGCAAGUUAUGCACAGGACCCAGCCCUCCUAAGACCCCAGAUAAGAUUCCUGUGUUCUCAAAACCUCAUCCCAAAGCACCCUGAGAUCCACAUGAAUCCCAAAACACACAAAAGAUCCCCAAGACUCAGGUACAGACCCAAAGGCCCAGCCACCCAAAAUAUGGACACAGACCCAAAAUCCCAGGGCUAAACAUCAAGACCUAAGCAGCCCAUAACCCAUACCCUGGCACAGACACAUCCCCCCCAGCAAGUGGGAGAGAGUUCUGUUAUUUCUGUUUACUCUGUAGCAAGGAACACCUGUCUGAGCACAAGUACCCAGUCAGGGUGAGCAUGUACCUUGACCUGCAGCCUCUUGGUCAGAUCCUCAUCCACUUGGUGACAUCCAGACCCACUGAGGAAAACCCAGAAUGCAGAGGUGCCAACGAAUACCAUGGCAGAGCCCAGCCCAUUUUACUCCACUACCUGCAGCCAGAGAGAACUGGACCAUCAAGAAGAUGAUGAAUCUGAUCGCCAUCUGAGACAAGGAGGAGACCCAGGUGACCCAGGGCAAGUACCUGUUCCCUGAAAGAUCUUGACCCCUUGAAUCUGGGGGAAGUCACAUGUCUGGAGACAAAAUUUUCUAUGUUGCAUCCAAGGGUGUUUCAGUUCAUUUCCUCUGAUGGCUCCUAAGAGGCCCUGCCAUUGAUGCCUGAGACUAUCCACCAGUCAUCCUGAUUCCAGCAUGGGGAGCCAAAAAUCACUCACCUCUCCUGAUUUCAGCACAAGGAGGCUGAAGAGCACCCACUCCUACUGGUCCUAGUGUGUGGACCUGAACAGCACCCCUUUCCCUGGUCCAAGCAGUGAUCCUGAUGGUGUCAAGGGAGGGCCUACUGUACUGGAAAGUAGAGGUCAACACUGUAUUGUGAAGACCUAGGUACAGAGGGAGACUCACACCCAUAGCUAAGAGGGCAGUGUGGUAGUAGGGUUUUGGGGCCUCACCACCUGUAGCCCAUCAUUCCAAACUGAUAUCUGUAGACAUCUGUGGAGCCCCGACCCUCUCCCUUUCCCAUGGUGGACAGUGCCCACUACUACUACUCCUUUCCCUCUCCCUUCCCAUGGUGGACAGUGCCAACUACAAAGUAUUCUGUUGGUCAGAAACACUGACCAACUAAUUGUGGUGUGAACCCCACAAAAGGACUGUUAUGUUCUUAUAUUCUUAUGUCCCAGUGCAUGGGCAAAGGGAGGUGUGGGGGUUGGUAUUAUGCUUCCAUUCUAUCUGGACAAAGCAUAUCACUCAGGGAGGUAAUUGUUCAACCAUACUGUCAAUAUUGGUCCCUCCAUUCUCUGUGAUAUGGACCUGAGGCAUCCAGUCCAUGUCCUUGAGCAUUUUGUACCUAAUCAAUCAACAAGCUUGAAAAAUAAAUUUGACUUAGUCACACCA